rnacentral:rRNA from 1 species
CCUACGGGAGGCAGCAGUGGGGGAUAUUGCACAAUGGGGGAAACCCUGAUGCAGCGACGCCGCGUGAGUGAAGAAGUAUUUCGUUACGUAAAGCUCUAUCAGCAGGGAAGAAAAUGACGGUACCUGAGUAAGAAGCCCCGGCUAACUACGUGCCAGCAGCCGCGGUAAUACGUAGGGGGCAAGCGUUAUCCGGAUUUACUGGGUGUAAAGGGAGCGUAGACGGUGCUGCAAGUCAGGAGUGAAAUGCCGCGGCUUAACUGCGGGACUGCUCUUGAAACUGGAUAACUAGAGUGCGGGAGGGGCAAGCGGAAUUCCUAGUGUAGCGGUGAAAUGCGUAGAUAUUAGGAGGAACACCGGUGGCGAAGGCGGCUUACUGGACCGUAACUGACGUUGAGGCCCGAAGGCGUGGGGAGCAAACAGGAUUAGAUACCCGGGUAGUC